rnacentral:tRNA from 1 species
GGGCGUGUAGCUCAGCGGUAGAGCGCGUCGUUCGCAACGACGAGGCCAGGGGUUCAAUCCCCUCUCGUCCA